UCCUUCGUGGUGUAGUGGUGAGCACGCUCGGCGCGUAUUCGACAGGUCCGUGGUUCAAAUCCCGGCGAAGGCA
rfam:Stegodyphus mimosarum contig104888, whole genome shotgun sequence.